rnacentral:lncRNA from 1 species
GAAGGUCUGUUAGAGGAGUAAAGAUGAAGUUCAUUGUAGGACUAGAUGAUAAGAAGGAAUUAAAAGAGUUCGACGAUAAGAAGGAGAGAAAGGAAAAAAGAAAAGCUUAGCUGAGUGAAUGACCCCUUCAAAAGUUGAAAUUUUUUUUAUCACCAAAGUCAUGUUGUUAAAUAUGCUCAUGUUGUAAUCUCAUAUAGACAUAUAAAAGAACAUGACCGAUUUGAAGUAUGUUUUUGUUUGUGAAGUUGUAUUGUUGUG